UUGUGCCGGUCCCAAGCCCGGAUAAAUGGGGAGGGUAACAUCAGGAAGGACAUCCAGUGUAAAAUUUUACCAAAUAAAUAAGCGGACAACAAUAAAAUAUUCUAUACCAGAUUGGUUGAGUUUCGGGUUAACAACAACCACCACCAGUACUGUUAACCAACAUGGUGCUGAUGGAAGUUAGGCUACUGUUUGCCGAAGAAGGAGAAAAAGAGGGAGAAGACAUGUCCCGAGGCAGAAGGAGAGGAGGAAGCCUUAGUGGCACCUGAAAUUAUUCUCCUAUUUUCACUGGUUCCCAAGUGUAUAAAGGUCAUAAACCAUUGGUCUAAACAGCACCUCUAUGAACAGAGAUGCAGUGAUGAACAGACAGACGAGGUGGGCUAAAAAGAAGGUCUGUCUUUGCCAAAUUGAGCUGGAGAUGGCAUUCCUUAAUCAAGGUAACAAUAUCAGUGAGACGUGCAGAAAUUAUAGCUGAUACAGUGUGUUCCUCAAGACAGAAUGACAUGUAGAGCUGUGGAUCAUCAGCACAGCACUGAUAAGAGAAACCAUUGGACUGGAUGACACUGGGAUGAACAGCAAUAAUUAACAUUCCUUUUUUUAAUAUGGGACAGUAAAUAAUAGCCUACGUAUGGCAAACAAGAAUUAUAUUGGAUUAAAUUAGAUUAGAGAUGUUUAUUGUCACAUACACUGCAAAGGCAAACUAAAAUUGUUGAUCCACAGUUGUGGCGCAUGGGAGGGGGAUGGGAUGCAGAAAAGUAUGUACAGACAAUAAGAUAAAUAAAUAAAUAAGAAUAGGAGAAUUACAGUAAAUAAAGAGUAGCAGAAGAAUGGUGUUACAUACCUAGAGGAAAAAAUGUGUAUUAAACAGUUUGGAGAAAAGAAAAUAUAAAGUAGAUGGCAGCCCACUAGUAAUGUACAGUACAAUUAUACAUUGACAUGUAAGAUCAGGAUUCUGUGAGGACAGCGACGUUAUAGCCUGGAGAAGAAGCUGUCCCUGAAACAAAUGGAGCGAGUUGUGAGGCUCUGGUUGCAUUUACCAAAAGGCAGAAGUGAAAACAGGGUAGCUGGAUGGCUUUCAUCACAUAUGAUGGAUUCAGUUUUCCUCAAACAUUCGGUGGAGUAGAUUGUAUGAAGCUGUGGAACCUCAAUCAUAAUAAAAUCUGCAAGUACAGUCCUUUGUAGGAAUAUCUGAUGCUGGUAAGUCUGAUUACUAAACCACACCGUAAUGCAUCCGGUCAGGAUGCAUUCAAUAGUGAAACAGUACAGGUUCACUAGUAUUGUGCAUCCCACCCCAAAACUCCUUAGCCUCCCCAGGAAAAAGUGCCUAUUUUGAGCCUUUUUGAUGAUGCAGGUGGUGUUGACACACAACAAGAGGCGGUCGGUUAUGUGGACACCUAGGAACCAUGAAUCUGCUAACUGUACGGAGCUGAGUGUGAUUGCCUUUGUUCUUUCUGAAGUCAACACUGACUUUGCUUUGUUGAUAUUCAGGAAGAGGUUGUUGUUUAGGCACCUUACAUUCAGGUCUGUUACCUCUCUCGUGUAUGUCGUCUCAUCAUUAUCUCUAAUAAGGCCAAUCACAAAGGUGUCAUUAGUGACCUUGAUGACUGUGUUGCCUAUUUCUACAUUCUGUAGUGAUGUGAAUCAACUUCAUAGUCAUCAAAGACAAAGCCACAGAUGGAUCUGCUCAGACCACGGUCUCUGAACGUCAUCUCCAGACUGGAGGGCAGAAUGAUAUUAACGGCAAUGCUAUAGAUGAUGAACAGCAUCCUGACACACUGUAGGUGUUUUCCCUUCCCAGAUGGCCCAUCAUCCACAGAUCUGUUAUGCUGGUAGAUAAACUGUAGUAGAUCCAGGGUAGCAGGGAUCUUAUGGUUAAUAUAAAUUAUGACCAGUUUCUCCACACUAUUCAUCAUCACAAACAUGAAUGCAUUGGAUCAAUAGUCAUUCAGACAGGAAACAUCCAUUUUUUGGCACAGGUACGAUUUUGAUUUUCAUGAAACACUGCAGCUCCACACAUAAAGACAGGGACAAGUUGGAGGUGUCAGAGUACACCCAUGUCAGCUGCCUUUCUCUGUCUCUUACGAAGAAAAGGUGGUGCACACUUAUGAUCGGAAAUGAUCAGAUGUUAACAGGAGAAAGCAGCAAUUACAGCAAUGAGGGGAAAGGGGCAGGGGUCUCAAAUAAAUUAACGUAUUUAAAUGAGCUUCAAUAAGUCAAUUAUUCACCAAAACUAGAUUUCUAAAAUGUCAUGUAAACCUUUAUUCUAAAUUAAAGAAAUCCGGUUAUUGGCCUCUCAGAAACCUAAUUAACAGAGAAGGAUUUCUCCAUGAAUAACCCAGUAACAGGUGCUACAUGUACCAUUGGCCCAUUGCUAGUUUUACUUUCUUUCAUGUAUUCCAUAGGAAAGAGGUUGCUGUGGGUUCACUGGAAAAUGGAGACUGCGCCUUUAAAGAGAAGACACAGCAUGGACAGGACAACUAACCUAAAGUGGAUUAAAUCUGGAAAGGAAGAAAGAGAGAGAAGGACAUCGAGCAGUGAAGUGAGGAUCAACAGCAUGUUAGCACCAAGAAUCCACUACGGGUGCAACCUGCUAGAGGAAGGUUUCUUUUUUUCCCAAGGUUACAACUGAGAUGUGUCUCUGAAGACAAACGUUUUGUCAUUGAUCUUGAGCGAUCAACCUAUGAACUGAUAGGGCAGAACGUUUAUACUAUUGGCAUCAGGUGGCUCUUUACUCUGUUGUUCUUCUGGCAUUUCAUUGUCAUCUUGAACUUUAAGGACAGUAAACCAAAUUUUAAUAUAUUGGGAUAAACGGGUUAUCUUUAGCAAAGGCAUCUUUUUUGUUUUACUUGCAUAAUGUACUUGUUUUUUUGGAAGUUAUGUUUAAAAUAUUCCUCUUGACUGGUAAUGUGUAAAUAUAUUUUUUUUUUCAUUGCUUUAAUACUUUCCAUUGAAUGCUGAUCUGGUAUGUGUGGUGAAUAAGCUAAACAGAACAUGUGUUGGUUAUGGAACUAUGGAAAAGAUUUCCGUGAAGUAAAUUAAGUACUAUUGCUAUUACUAUAGCGGUGUUCUGAUCGUGCAGCUGCUCUGGACUGGCUGUUCUCCAUAAUCAGAACAUCCUGAUUAUGUGGCCAUGUAAACCUUUAACUGGGUUACUGUUCAUGAUUUUGUAAUCUGUGCAUGUCCGUUGUAUUCUUUCAGCCUACGCAUGUAUUUGCUUCACCCACAUUUUCAGCAACCACAGUUAAAGUGUCCAUAAAAUAACUUUUCAGA